rnacentral:rRNA from 1 species
GAUGAACGCUGGCGGCGUGCUUAACACAUGCAAGUUGAGCGAAGCGCUUACGACAGAACCUUCGGGGGAAGAUGUAAGGGACUGAGCGGCGGACGGGUGAGUAACGCGUGGGUAACCUGCCUCAUACAGGGGGAUAACAGUUGGAAACGGCUGCUAAUACCGCAUAAGCGCACAGUAUCGCAUGAUACGGUGUGAAAAACUCCGGUGGUAUGAGAUGGACCCGCGUCUGAUUAGCUAGUUGGAGGGGUAACGGCCCACCAAGGCGACGAUCAGUAGCCGGGGGGGGAGGGGGAGCGGCGAGGGUGGGGGGGGGGCACGGCGGAGGCGGCGACGGGGGGGAGGAGUGGGGGAGGGGGCACAAUGGGGGAAACCCUGAUGCAGCGACGCCGCGUGAAGGAAGAAGUAUCUCGGUAUGUAAACUUCUAUCAGCAGGGAAGAAAAUGACGGUACCUGACUAAGAAGCCCCGGCUAACUACGUG